ACCAAUAUUUAGCUGCGAUAUCGCAACCAAUGAGGUUUUACCGAGGUGCGAUUAUUGCUAGUUGAAAAAAUAACCUUUUUUAGUAGUGUACCAUGUUUUCUGCAAGGAAUUUGGAACACUUUUUUUCUGAUAAUGGUUUAU